UGAAUAUCGCGGGGGGACUCAUAUAGAGUUGAGAAGGUAAAACCUGACCCUUUGAACCUGUCAGUUAACGCUGUUGUAGGGAGCAAAGAGAAAAUAACC
rnacentral:ncRNA from 1 species